rnacentral:lncRNA from 1 species
UUUAAUUUAUCUUACUGUUUAGGCUUUAAUUUAAUCAAAAUGUGGUAGCCUUGUUUGGUAGUUCAUCGCCUGUGUUCAUUUUGAGUAGGGUGUCGAGAUUCUGCCUAAUAGGUGGAAAUUAGUUUGGUGAACAAAUGCAUGUUUGAAUGCGAUUAUCAAGUUUUGGAAUUGGUCUAGUUUUGUUUGUUCGAUUGGUGCCUCGUCUUGUUUUCUUUCCUUUGACUCACG